CUGUCAUACGGCCUCAAACUGAAGACCUUGAAUUCCUCUGCAACCACCUCGGGGGUGCUGCUGGUGAUCCCCCUGCCUUCAGUGGAGACUCCAGAAUGUGUCACUGUGCCUGGUGUCAAGUCUGGAAGUUACUUCUCGCAGAAGCCUGCUCUAGAGAUUGCAACUUUCAUCACAGAUCGGCUCCUCCUAACCGCUCUCCUCCUUCAGAAUGCGCCUGUCUCAUCUAACACACGACUGAAUUUCCUUACACAGGAGCUUGUCUUCUGUCAACAAGAGCGAUGCGAUCUUCUACUUCCUGUUAUGUGCUCUGGGUUUACCCCUGCGCCUCGCUGGUGCAAUGCAUACUUGUGGAAUGAAGGAAUGAAUUAAAUGGUGACACUUCA